rnacentral:lncRNA from 1 species
UUUAUUGGCAUGUCUUAAAGCUCCUUAUUGACAUUUAAAACAUAACCAGAAACAACUUUUCCUACUCCACAGUGCUUAUGGAAUUCUUGAAAAUCUGGAACAUAACUGUGAGUAAUCUUGGAAACAAUUAGGCAAUCUGUAGGUUCUUCACUUGCUCUCAUCGUUAAGUUACCCCACUCUUUCUGAUACCUGGACUUGCUACCUCUGAUUUACUUGGAGAUCAUCAACAAGAAGACAAUCGAGGUAAAGUGAGCCCACUGAUUCUUAUUCAUGUUGGUUAGAUGCUAACUUGCUGAUGUGUUCUGUCAAACUAAGCAAGCCCACUGGUGUGUUCUAUUGAAUUGAGAAACAUUAUAUUUACUCUUAAAUUUAAAUCUUUUAACCUGAAUUCAGAAUCAGCAGCGUCAUUAGAGUCACUGGCAGUGGCAAGCCUCGAUUCUUGCCCAAUUCUGUUGGCAGUUUAUCAUUUCUUGUAACCUGCAUUUCCGGGAAGAGGAUUGUCUUUUGCAUUCUGAACAUUCCAUUAACUGCUUGACGCUG